rnacentral:rRNA from 1 species
GAUGAACGCUAGCUACAGGCUUAACACAUGCAAGUCGAGGGGAAACGGCAUCGAAAGCUUGCUUUUGAUGGGCGUCGACCGGCGCACGGGUGAGUAACGCGUAUCCAACCUGCCCAUCACUUGGGAAUAACCUUGCGAAAGUAAGACUAAUGCCCAAUGACAUCCCACGAAGGCAUCCGAAUGGGAUUAAAGAUUUAUCGGUGAUGGAUGGGGAUGCGUCUGAUUAGCUUGUUGGCGGGGUGACGGCCCACCAAGGCAACGAUCAGGAGGGGUUCUGAGAGGUAGGUCCCCCACAUUGGAGCUGCGACACGGACCAAUCGCCUACGGGACGCAGCAGAGUGGUAUAGUAGUCAAUGGUCGAGAGCCUUGACCAGCCAAGUAGCGUGCGAGCUGACGGCCCUAUGAGUUGUAAACUGCUUUUAUAAGGGAAUAGAGUGGGUCACGUGUGACUUUUUGCAUGUACCUUAUGAAUAAGGACCGGCUAAUUCCGUG